UACGUAGGGUGCGAGCGUUAAUCGGAAUUACUGGGCGUAAAGCGUGCGCAGGCGGUUUGCUAAGACCGAUGUGAAAUCCCCGGGCUUAACCUGGGAACUGCAUUGGUGACUGGCAGGCUAGAGUAUGGCAGAGGGGGGUAGAAUUCCACGUGUAGCAGUGAAAUGCGUAGAGAUGUGGAGGAAUACCGAUGGCGAAGGCAGCCCCCUGGGCCCAAUACUGACGCUCAUGCACGAAAGGCGUGGGGAGCAAACGAGG
rnacentral:rRNA from 1 species